rnacentral:rRNA from 1 species
CAGCAGCCGCGGUAAUACGGAGGGAGCUAGCGUUGUUCGGAAUUACUGGGCGUAAAGCGCACGUAGGCGGUUAUUCAAGUCAGAGGUGAAAGCCCGGGGCUCAACCCCGGAACUGCCUUUGAAACUAGAUGACUGGAAUCUUGGAGAGGUCAGUGGAAUUCCGAGUGUAGAGGUGAAAUUCGUAGAUAUUCGGAAGAACACCAGUGGCGAAGGCGACUGACUGGACAAGUAUUGACGCUGAGGUACGAAAGCUAGGGGAGCAAAUGGGAUUAGAUACCCCCGUAGUCCCUGUCUCUUAUAA